UGGUGUAAGUGGGCCGGCGAUGCCCCC
rnacentral:piRNA from 1 species